GCAGUUGUGGCCUACUGGUUAGGGAGUCAGACUUGUAACCUGAAGGUGAACCUGAAGGUCAUGGGUUUGAAUCUCAGGCCCGGCA